GAGGUGGGAGGAUCGCUUGAACUCGGGAGGUGGAGGUUGCAGUGAGCUGAGAUCAUGCCACUGCACUCCAGCCUGAGUGACAGAGCAAAACCCUGUCUC
ensembl:miRNA